rnacentral:rRNA from 1 species
CUGCAGCUCAAGUGGUGACCACUAUUAUUGGGCCUAAAACGUUCGUAGCCGGUUUGGUAAAUGCCUGGGUAAACCGUGUAGCUUAACUAUACGAAUUCCGGGUAGACUGCCAAACUUGAGACCGGGAGAAGCUAGAGGUACUCCUGGGGUAGAGGUGAAAUUCUGUAAUCCUGGGGGGACCACCAGUGGCGAAGGCGUCUAGCUAGAACGGGUCUGACGGUGAGGAACGAAGCCCUGGGGCGCAAACCGGAUUAGAUACCCGAGUAGUCC